CAAGGACUCGCCCUCCGUCUGGGCCGCCGUCCCCGGGAAAACGUUCGUCAACAUCACGCCAGCUGAGGUGGGUGUCCUGGUUGGCAAAGACCGGUCAAGUUUUUACGUGAAUGGGCUGACACUUGGGGGCCAGAAAUGUUCGGUGAUCCGGGACUCACUGCUGCAGGAUGGGGAAUUUAGCAUGGAUCUUCGUACCAAGAGCACCGGUGGGGCCCCCACCUUCAAUGUCACUGUCACCAAGACUGACAAGAGUGAUCCUGCUGAUGGGCAAAGAAGGUGUCCACGGUGGUUUGAUCAACAAGAAAUGUUAUGAAAUGGCCUCCCACCUUCGGCGUUCCCAGUACUGACCUCGUCUGUCCCUUCCCCUUCACCGCUCCCCACAGCUUUGCACCCCUUUCCUCCCCAUACACACACAAACCAUUUUAUUUUUUGGGCCAUUACCCCAUACCCCUUAUUGCUGCCAAAACCACAUGGGCUGGGGGCCAGGGCUGGAUGGACAGACACCUCCCCCUACCCAUAUCCCUCCCGUGUGUGGUUGGAAAACUUUUGUUUUUUGGGGUUUUUUUUUUCUGAAUAAAAA
rnacentral:lncRNA from 1 species